UAACACAUGCAAGUCGAACGGAAAGAGAUGAAAGAGCUUGCUCUUUUAUUAAUUUCAGUGGCAAACGGGUGAGUAACACGUAAACAACCUGCCUUAAGGAUGGGGAUAACAGACGGAAACGACUGCUAAUACCGAAUACGUUCUAAGCAUCGCAUGGUGCAUAGAAGAAAGGGUGGCCUCUACAAGAAAGCUAUCGCCUUAAGAGGGGUUUGCGACUGAUUAGGUAGUUGGUGAGGUAACGGCUCACCAAGCCGACGAUCAGUAGCCGGUCUGAGAGGAUGAACGGCCACACUGGAACUGAGACACGGUCCAGACUCCUACGGGAGGCAGCAGUGGGGAAUCUUCCGCAAUGGACGAAAGUCUGACGGAGCAACGCCGCGUGAACGAAGAAGGUCUUCGGAUUGUAAAGUUCUGUGAUUCGGGACGAAAGGGUUUGUGGUGAAUAAUCAUAGACAUUGACGGUACCGAAAAAGCAAGCCACGGCUAACUACGUGCCAGCAGCCGCGGUAAUACGUAGGUGGCAAGCGUUGUCCGGAAUUAUUGGGCGUAAAGCGCGCGCAGGCGGCUUCUUAAGUCCAUCUUAAAAGCGUGGGGCUCAACCCCAUGAGGGGAUGGA
rnacentral:rRNA from 1 species